rnacentral:rRNA from 1 species
GACGAACGCUGGCGGCGUGCUUAACACAUGCAAGUCGAACGGAAAGGCCCUGCUUUUGUGGGGUGCUCGAGUGGCGAACGGGUGAGUAACACGUGAGUAACCUGCCCUUGACUUUGGGAUAACUUCAGGAAACUGGGGCUAAUACCGGAUAGGAGCUCCUGCUGCAUGGUGGGGGUUGGAAAGUUUCGGCGGUUGGGGAUGGACUCGCGGCUUAUCAGCUUGUUGGUGGGGUAGUGGCUUACCAAGGCUUUGACGGGUAGCCGGCCUGAGAGGGUGACCGGCCACAUUGGGACUGGGAUACGGCCCAGACUCCUACGGGAGGCAGCAGUGGAGAAUAGUGCACAAUGGGCUGAAGCCUGAUGCAGCAACGCCGCGUGCGGGAUGACGGCCUUCGGGUUGUAAACCGCUUUCGCCUGUGACGAAGCGUGAGUGACGGUAAUGGGUAAAGAAGCACCGGCUAACUACGUG